rnacentral:rRNA from 1 species
GAUGAACGCUGACAGAAUGCUUAACACAUGCAAGUCGAUGGGGAAGUGGUGCUUUGCACCAUGGUAACCAUGGCGGACGGGUGAGUAACGCGUAAGGAACUUGCCUGCGGGACUGGGAUAACAGCAGGAAACUGCUGAUAAUACCGGAUAAGGUCAUUAAGCUGCAUAGCUUAGUGAUGAAAGGAGACGCCUGCGGAGAGCCUUGCGUCCUAUUAGCUAGUUGGAGGGGUAACGGCCCACCAAGGCGAAGAUAGGUAGCCGGCCUGAGAGGGUGGACGGCCACAAGGGGACUGAGAUACGGCCCUUACUCCUACGGGAGGCAGCAGUGGGGAAUAUUGGACAAUGGGGGCAACCCUGAUCCAGCAAUUCUGUGUGCACGAAGACGGUUUUCGGAUUGUAAAGUGCUUUCAGCAGGGAAGAAGUAAGUGACGGUACCUGCAGAAGAAGCGACGGCUAAAUACGUGCCAGCAGCCGCGGUAAUACGUAUGUCGCGAGCGUUAUCCGGAAUUAUUGGGCAUAAAGGGCAUCUAGGCGGCCUUCCAAGUCAGGGGUGAAAACCUGCGGCUCAACCGCAGGCCUGCCUUUGAAACUGAUAGGCUGGAGUACCGGAGAGGUGGACGGAACUGCACGAGUAGAGGUGAAAUUCGUAGAUAUGUGCAGGAAUGCCGAUGAUGAAGAUAGUUCACUGGACGGUAACUGACGCUGAAGUGCGAAAGCCGGGGGAGCGAACAGG